GACGAACGCUGGCGGCGUGCUUAACACAUGCAAGUCGAACGGAAAGGCCCUGCUUGCAGGGUGCUCGAGUGGCGAACGGGUGAGUAACACGUGGGUGAUCUGCCCCUUACUUUGGGAUAAGCCUGGGAAACUGGGUCUAAUACUGGAUAGGACCAUGCUGUAGGUGGUGUGGUGGAAAGAUUAGUUUCGGUAAGGGAUGAGCUCGCGGCCUAUCAGCUUGUUGGUGGGGUAAUGGCCUACCAAGGCGUCGACGGGUAGCCGGCCUGAGAGGGUGGACGGCCACAUUGGGACUGAGAUACGGCCCAGACUCCUACGGGAGGCAGCAGUGGGGAAUAGUGCACAAUGGGCGCAAGGCUGAUGCAGCGACGCCGCGUGGGGGAUGACGGCCUUCGGGUUGUAAACUCCUUUCGGCCAUGACGAAGCCCUUGUGGUGACGGUAGUGGUAGAAGAAGCACCGGCUAACUACGUG
rnacentral:rRNA from 1 species